AUAAUUAUUGUUUUCCACAGAUAAUAAGGAUUUACCAAAUACAGUAAGACUUUGAAAAUCAGGAUGUACGAUAAAUUUCUUAUUCGUUUCCGUAUUUGUAACAUCCGAAAAAUCAAAUCUCAAUUCUAAUGAUGGAAUUGUUGAUUUUGCCAUCUAGAGUGAGCUAAACCAGACAUUGUAAUAAGAUUUUCUUGAAUUUGUUCUGGAGAUAUGUACUCCAAUUCUGGUUCAGAAAGUUCAUCUUCUUUAUCAUCAUUAAUUUCUAUUACCGAAUUAGGAAGUCCGAUCAUUGGAAUCGGAUCAUCUUUAUUUAUCGCUUUUAAAGAAAUAUGAGAAUAAAGAGUGCGAUUCGACCAUAAAUAUAUACCUAGAUUACACACAUGUGUUGUAGCAAGAAAUUCUCCAGUUGGAGAAAAAUGUAAUGAUGUACAUGCUUCUGGAAUCUAAAAUAUUGGAAUAUAAAACAUUUGACUAAUUUUCGAAUUUUUGUAAAUUAAUGAUAUUUUAAAAUUCAUUUAAAAUAUGAUAUUUAAAAUAUCAUUAAAAUAUCAAUUUUAAUAUUUUAAAAUUGAGUUAAUAAUUUUUUAUAUACCUGAAAAAUAUCUAUUAAGUUAGAAGAAGGAAUAUCCCAUGUACAAAUUGUACAAUCCAUAGAUGCUGUUAUUAACCAUCUUGAGUCAGGAUUAAAACAUGCAUCUGUCAAGCGCCCUUUAUGUCCUUCAAAACGUCGAACAAUUUUUCUAGUAUCAAAAUCUAUUAAUACAAUACUAAAAUCUUCCAAUGCUACAGCUAUAAGGGAACUUUCAUCAUGAUAUCGUAUCCAUUCAAUUGGCUCAUCUAGUAUCAUUUUUGCUAGUGAUUCUGUAUCAUCUUAAAAUUAAAAUAUUAAUUAUUAUAUUUUAUUAUUUUUACAUAUAUCUUUUUUAAUACAUAUAAUAAAAAAUAAUAAAUAAAAUUUUAUUAUAAUAAAUAAAUAUUUAAUAAAUAUAAUAAAUAAAAAUUUAUUUUCUUA